AUGGCGGAGGGAACGGGAGCGACGGCGGCUUCAGGGUCGGCAGCGGGCAAGAUGACGAUGGUGGUCGGGGUGGACGAGAGCGAGCACAGCUACUACGCGCUGCAGUGGACGCUCCUCCACUUCUUCUCCCCGGGCCAGCAGCAGCAGUACCGCCUCGUCGUCGUCACGGCCAAGCCCACCGCCGCGUCCGCCGUCGGCCUCGCCGGACCAGGUGCCGCGGACGUGCUGCCGUUCGUUGAGGCGGACCUGAAGCGGAGCUCGCUGCGCGUCAUCGACAAGGCCAAGGAGCUCUGCGCGCAUGUGAGCGAUGCUGUCUUUGAAGUGGUGGAAGGGGAUGCGAGGAACGUCCUCUGCGAGGCGGUGGAAAGGCAUCACGCAGAGAUGUUGGUCGUGGGCAACCAUGGCUACGGAGCAAUCAAAAGGGCUGUUCUCGGAAGUGUGAGCGAUUACUGCACCCACCACGCGCACUGCACUGUGAUGAUUGUGAAGAAACCAAAGCACAAGCACUGA
rnacentral:rRNA from 1 species